CAAGCCCAAUUUAUAUUUACUAAGCAGCCUCAUUAACCCAUGUAUUUAGGGUUUUCUAGACUAAUAUAUAUGAUGUAAGAAUCCUACAUUGAAUGCAACUAAGGCUGCGGUUUGUGCAGCCAAAACCUUAUCUUUAUGAAUAUCAUUUCAGAAUCAUUUAGAUCUUGGUGACAACUUAAAUCUCUUCUCCUCUCUUUACUUUCUUGUUCAAUAAAGCUUAAUAAGCUAUCUCUAUUUCUGUUUAAAUAAAGCCCUUUGAGCAUUUUCUACUUUUGUUAUCAUGGUAUCAGAGUUUCAGUCGAUUUUCAUGGGUUACCCUAUCUUUUUCUAGCUUCUGCACCCUCUAUCUAAGCCAUCGACAAUAUGCUGGUUCAUGGGCGAAAUCCAAAGAAAAGAAAGAGACUUUCUGCAAUUGUGCUGCAGAUCUGUGUUGAUAUGACAGUGAAGUUUAAGCUCUACUCUUUUCACCACGGUCGCCUGAUAAGAAAAGCCAGAAGCAGAUCUUCCAAUCGAAGAAGAAGAGGAAGUUGGGCUCCAGCAAAUCAACAUGUUAUUGGGCCUUCCAGAUAAAAGCCCAUCUGCUAAAAAAAAAUAUGGAAACACGAGAAGAAGCGCUUGUGGGAACAAAAGCAGGGGAAGCUCCUUCAUGUCUCUUCAUCAGCGCAUAUCUUCUGGUAUGUUAUGAAUGAUUUAGUGCUAUAGGCUUGGAAUCUGGAAGGAAAAUGAAUAGGCUAGUUCUGGGUUUGAUAGCGAUGAGAUAAAUGGCGACAAGUUUUGUUUUGAUGAGUACACACAAGAUGUUUGGUUAAAUGUCCAGAAGAAAAACAGAUUGUGAAAAUGAGGAGUUUUGAUGGCAGAUGAAUAGGAAAUAGGGAGUUGGGUUUAGGCUGUUGUAGGAUGGAUAUUCUCUUUUGCCGUGAGAUAGCUUAGUCCAGUUAGGAGGAUAAAAAGAAAAAUCCCCAACUUGUUGUAAGACAAAUAGGUCAAAAGAACCUGAAGAUGUUCUCACACUUAUGUCUAUUCUCCAAGCUGAAUAGAGUCAUCUACCUGCCUUCCAUGGAUCUUCAACUACUCAUGCUCCUUUCAAAGCCAGCUCCAUGUGCAUCUUCAAACUUGGCUCAGCUGCUUGCUUCACCACCCGAUGCCAAGUUUGCGGGAGGAUAUUGAAGCCCACAUACAAGCCCAACUUAUAUCUACUAAGAAGCCUCAUUAACCCAUGUAUUUAGGGUUUUCUAGACUAAUAUAUAUGAUGUAAGAAUCCUACAUUGAAUGCAACUAAGGCUGCGGUUUGUGCAGCCAAAACCUUAUCUUUAUGAAUAUCAUUUCAGAAUCAUUUAGAUCUUGGUGACAACUUAAAUCUCUUCUCCUCUCUUUACUUUCUUGUUCAAUAAAGCUUAAUAAGCUAUCUCUAUUUCUGUUUAAAUAAAGCCCUUUGAGCAUUUUCUACUUUUGUUAUCAUGGUAUCAGAGUUUCAGUCGAUUUUCAUGGGUUACCCUAUUUUCUUCUAGCUUCUGCACCCUCUAUCUAAGCCAUCGACAAUAUGCUGGUUCAUGGGCGAAAUCCAAAGAAAAGAAAGAGACUUUCUGCAAUUGUGCUGCAGAUCUGUGUUGAUAUGACAGUGAAGUUUAAGCUCUACUCUUUUCACCACGGUCGCCUGAUAAGAAAAGCCAGAAGCAGAUCUUCCAAUCGAAGAAGAAGAGGAAGUUGGGCUCCAGCAAAUCAACAUGUUAUUGGGCCUUCCAGAUAAAAGCCCAUCUGCUAAAAAAAAAUAUGGAAACACGAGAAGAAGCGCUUGUGGGAACAAAAGCAGGGGAAGCUCCUUCAUGUCUCUUCAUCAGCGCAUAUCUUCUGGUAUGUUAUGAAUGAUUUAGUGCUAUAGGCUUGGAAUCUGGAAGGAAAAUGAAUAGGCUAGUUCUGGGUUUGAUAGCGAUGAGAUAAAUGGCGACAAGUUUUGUUUUGAUGAGUACACACAAGAUGUUUGGUUAAAUGUCCAGAAGAAAAACAGAUUGUGAAAAUGAGGAGUUUUGAUGGCAGAUGAAUAGGAAAUAGGGAGUUGGGUUUAGGCUGUUGUAGGAUGGAUAUUCUCUUUUGCCGUGAGAUAGCUUAGUCCAGUUAGGAGGAUAAAAAGAAAAAUCCCCAACUUGUUGUAAGACAAAUAGGUCAAAAGAACCUGAAGAUGUUCUCACACUUAUGUCUAUUCUCCAAGCUGAAUAGAGUCAUCUACCUGCCUUCCAUGGAUCUUCU
rnacentral:lncRNA from 1 species